AGGGUUCACCCUGAUGUGAAUCCUUUGACCGUCAUCCAUCCUCCUGGAGGAAAAAGCAUAAUAUCAUGACAUUAGAGGAGCUAAACGCUCUUAAGGAAACUGAUCUUUUCUCCAGGAGUGAGGGUGCGGCUUCCCAAAGAAGGGGAGACCACCAUAACUUUUAAUCGCCUAGGCGAGAUAGCUUUUACGAGGCAUGCGUUCCGGCUGACCUUCGUUUUCACCCUUCACUCUACAUUAGGUUAAUCCUCCAAUUGUCUCUAAAUAUGCCCGGCCCCAGUCGGUUCCAAACGCUUGGAAGAAGCAUGCUUGCUCUAUGGCGUGUUGUGGCGGGUUAUUCAAAUACUAUAUUUCCCUUCGAGGUUUCGGCAAACUAUUUAGCCUCAAUAGCAACCAGUACACCGGAUCAAGGAUGGAAACUUCAAAGGCGAGAGAAGACUGAGAAACAAGAAGCUCUGCUCGGAGGAUACCCCAGUAAUGUUAAUGAGGUGAAGAGCAAGUUCUUCUUCAUCGCCGGCGACAUAAGGGAGUUCCUGAAGGAACGACUCGGAGGGCGCCCAAAGGGUUCCAGAUGGACCGUGGGGAAUUCUAGGUCGGUCGCUCUUCUUUUCUACUCUUUUCAUACUUUGAGAUGUCGGGGGGCUAAUAUUAUUAUUUUUUUCAGACAAGCAUACAAUAAUCUACCUCGACUUUUAUGGCGAUGAACCGAAAGUUUUGAAGAGAUUUUUCGGUUCGGUCGAGAAGACGGGAGGCUUCUCACCCGGGCUAUUGGACUCGACGAUAGUAUCGACGAGUAUUGUCUCUCCUGGUUCUAGGCGUCGAGGUUAGCGGGUGAUAAUAUUCUGGAGUGGAGACGCAACGAGUCUCGAGCGAGGGAGUGGAGUUCCAAAAUCCCAUGAACAAGCGGGGCGAGAAAAGCCCGUCCCGAGACGAUUCAAUUGAGUGUCUAGGAUCAUCAGGAACAAACCUGAGGAGGUUGUUACCUCACAUCCUGAUCUGACCCUUUGAGGUGGUCAGGGGGACAGGUUAUGGAUCCGUACAGAUCGUUUUUCGAAUGCUCUGAGCUCAGAAUCAUCGUUCGGGAAUCCUUGUUCGGAUUCGAGCCUACCCGUCGAGCUUGAAUAGGAUGGUAUUGUUCCUUUCUUUGUCUAGGUGACGAUUUAUUUUCUUAUUCUGAAUUCGUAGGUGUGUGCAGCUAUGGCGAAGAGAGUUAGCUUUAAGAAGAUUGGCGAGAAGCUCAGGAAGGCGGGGGGUGCGAGCUGGGGACUCCCGUUCGCACAAAGGGAGUCGUUAAUUGGCGAGGAAGCGGGCCGGAGGAAAGAUGCAUCACCAGCUCGCCCAGCAAAAAGGGGAAUGGUCGAUGACGGCUCGAAGGGAAAAGGAGUUGAAACGGCCCUGAGGGCAAGAAAGGAAGGCGACCUCAUCAGGGCAAAGCCCCGACCACCCAGCCACCGGCAUCUCCUCGUCCUAGGCAGGUUUCCGGCCAUCUAAUUCCGGCACUGUCUGGGCCCCACGGCUUCUAUGUUGGGCAGCACGUAUGGCCGAAGGAAAGAAGUUGUUGCAGGGGAUUCCCCCGGCCGACAAGGAGAAGGUGGAGAAGCUAACCUUGAUCAAAACGGAGAAGAAGCUCUUUCACGUGUUCGGUUAGGGACUUCGGGAGCUGUCAAUUUUUCUAUCGAUUUUCAUUUGAUCGGGAUUGUUAAAAUAAAAAAUGUUCCGUUCUUAUAUCAGCGUUGGUGCUCGGUUUCAUCUUUGGCAGUAUGUAGAAGGGAGGCCGGGGAGCAGGCAUCUAUUCAAGAGGGGGCGAGCUGCUUGCUUCCAUGGAAAAUGAGAUUGCUUGCUCCAAAAGGUACUGGCCGACAUGGGAACAACAAAUGGCUGAGUCAGUGCUCGGAGCAGCGGCCAAUGGACGAGUGGCCAAGGCGAAGACGAUGAGGAUCGCUGUCCGACAGUCGAAGAGGGUCGGUAUGUUGGUGAUGAACGAACGAGGGAAGCUUGAAUUAAUCCAAGAAAUUGCCGUGGAGGAGUUCAAAUCCAGUCGGAGGAGUUCAUCGGUGGCAGUUGAAGAUUCCGCUCCAAAUACUUUGGGAGAGGGGUUUAAACCUUCUGCAAGGUGCAACUCGCCGACAUAAUCCUGACUUGCUAUCGACCUUGGAAGCACUGUGGGUCUGAUCAGAUCUGCUGGCGGAGCAAGAGAGGCGAUGAGGAGAAUGAAAAGGAAAAAAACGGGCGAGAAUGAGGGGGUAAUUGAAAGAUAAUGCCCCGGAGGGUUAAAAUUUUUUUUUUUUUUUGAGAUUGUAUGUAAUGUUAUUCCCUUUGAACGAAAAAGUUUGUGCUCCCCCGUUUUUUGGUAUAUGUUUGUGUUAAUGGUGGAUAAUGAGUUCUGGUGGUGAAAUCUCAAAACCCAAACAAAUUGGCGACUUCAAUAAUGGCGACGAUCAAGAUUCCUUUUGUCAUUUUAUUUCGAACUGGCGGUUUCAAUAUUGGCGACAUCAAUCGUGGCGAUUCAAGAUGUCAUUUCCACAAUGGAUUGGCGAAAGAUUAAUAUUGAAGCAUGAAUAAUUGGCGAUCAAGUGUCAUUCCGAAUGGAUUGACAACCUUAAUUGGCGACAUCAAUCUUUUGUAUAAACGACGAGAUAGAUCAUAGGCGAAUCGCAACAAUUUCCAAUAUAAAAAUCCAAACCAUAAAUCUAGUUGGGGAGUCGUGUGAAUGGAGCGUUUCAUGGCUGUCAUUUAUGAUCGUAUUUCUGCAAAUGCUCGGCAUUCCAGGGAUUGUAAAGUGUUUUCCGUUGGGUAUUCUAACCAGUAAGUCCCGUGGUUCUGGAGACCUUAACGACUUUGAAGGACCUUCCCAAGUUGCGGCUGAGUUCCCCGCAUUUGGUUCUUAGUUGAUAUGGUACCCUCGCAAGACCAGGUCGCCAGGAAGGAACGACGGUGUUUGACCUUUGAUGUAGUAUUUGGCGACUUGGCAUUUGUAAAGCUGCAUUUGGUCGUAGUUCAGCCUUCUCUCUUCUCUCUCGAGGAGAUCAAGUUGAGCUGAGCUCGGCCUCAUUGCUUCUUUAUCGAAAUUCGAAGUUGAAACUUGGGCCUACCUAUUUCUACUGUAGACCAACAGUACCGAAUACCAUGGAGUAUGGAGUUUCGCCGUUAGAAAUCCGCUAGUAGUAUGGAUAGCCCAAAGAUCUUGGCAAGUCUUCCGCCUACUUGCUUUUGUGACCUUGCUAACCUCGCCUUCCAAAUCUGAGGAUGUUACGAUUGGUUACUUCAACUUGCCCAUUAGCUGAGGAUGACCGGGCGAGAGAAAUGAUGGAGUGGCGAGAUCCGAGCAAAAAAGAAUAACUUAAACUUGUCGUUGCCGAACUGCCUUGAGUUUGUCCGAGAUGAUAACCGUUGGGAUUCCGAAUCUGUACACGGUGUUUCCAUACGAAAUUCCGGGUAGUUUUCUCAGUAACUUGGGCGAGAGGCUGAGCUUCUAAAUCAUUUAGUAAAAUGUCCUAUUGGUCGACGAUCAACAAAUUUUCCUUGCAGGGGGCUCGUGGUAAGGGGGACCCCGUAUGUCUAGUCCCACUGGGCUAAUGCCAGGGGCUUGACAAUCGUUACCAUCUCAGUGUGGGGGUAGACGGCUGACGGGGGAAACCUCUGCACUUGUCGCAUCUCCUUAUUAUACGUAGCCGCAUCUCGUUCUAUCAUGGUCGGCCCAAAAAUAUCCCUUGACUAAUAGUUUCCUCGCCAAUGACCUGCUGCUCCCGGAGUUGAUUCCCGCAGAUGUCUUCAUGUAUUUCCUCGUACAACGUGUUCUGUCUGCCCUUCUGGUCGAGACAUUUCAAAAGUGGUCGCUGGAAAAAGACCUUUUUUAUGCGUUUGCUUGAAAAUGCAAACCAUGUGGUCUGUAUUGGAGACGGCGAGCUUUAGCUUAUCCUUUUCAAGAUCCCCUCUCUGGAGAUAGCAAUAAUCUCAUCCAUCCACGGUCGGAUUUUUUUCUAUUUGGAGGAUUUGAUUGUCGACCCCAAAUGCUUGGGCUAGCUAGAAAUUCCCAGAGUUUGCAACCUUUCGAAAUACACUCAAGGUUGAUGCCAGAAUUAGCUAAUGCGAUGUUCCUUCUUAUUAGAUCCUCUCGGGAAUUUUGGUGGCUUUUAAACCUCCUUUAUCUUUGCGGGACGCACGCUUUACCUCGCCCAAGUAAGCCAUCAUUCUUGGCGUCCUUGGCGAAGGCCAAGCCCCUUGGACUGGUUUUCCACCAGUUGUGAGUCACUGAAGAUUUUCAAAUAUUGUGCCCCUAACUCAGUCGUUACUCUUAGUCCUGCGAGGAGGUUCGUACUCGGCUUCAUUGUGUGGCUUUAAUCCCAUUCUUAUGGCGUACUCAUUUGCUCGCCUGAUUGAGUUUGUAUACGAGCCCUUCCCACAACCGUGGCUGGGUUAGAAGAGCCAUCGACGAAUAAUAUCCAGUGGGCGAGGUCUUUUUCUGAGGUUGGUUCUUUUAAGAAUUUCCAUUUCAGGAUGGAGCCGUUUCUGGUUGUGGAUGUCUUUCAUGGUUAGAUGCGACCAUACAAUCAGUCGGGGCCUGGGCCUUUUCUUUCCACCUCGGCCUGUACUCAAUGUGGAACUCACUUAAUCUCGUAUGGACCAUUUAAGUAGUCGACCUAUGUGUCUAAGUCGCUGAAAAAUCUGCCUUAGUGGGUGGGGGGGGGUUUUUGGGGGGGGAUCAUCGGUACUAUGAUGGGAUGGCUUGAAAGUAAUGACGAAGUUUUCUGGCGGCGAUCAAUUAUGGUCGAGGCAAGCUUUUCGAUCUUCGGAUAUCUGCCUCUUCACCCUUAAACUUUGCUAACGUAAUAUAUUGGUCUUUGGACCUGAUCUUCUUCUUGGAUUGAGCACAACACUUACUGCGGUAGGCGAAUAGAUAAAUAUCCGUAGAAAAUUCUCGCCGGGGUGGGGGACUGUGAGUAAGGCGGAACCGAGGCAUACUCUUUCAGCUGUUGGAUGCAUUUUUAUAUUCCUCGUUCCAUUGAAAUGCCUGUGCUUUUUCUCAGGAUUCUAAAAAGGGGAGGCACUUGUCCACAGAUUUGGAGACAAAUCCUGUUAAGGCGGCUACUCGACCAGUCAGCUACUAUACGUCUCGGAUAUUUAUGGGCGACCUCAUCGCAGUUAGGGCUUGGAUCUAUCUGAGUUUACCUCUAUCCACGCUUGGUGAACCUGAAAUCCUAAAAAUUGUCCCGGACGACACUCCAAAAAGUGCAUUUAGCAAGAGGGAUUUCAACAUCAUCCGGUGGCGACGCAUGAUUCUAAAGCGUCUUUAAGGGGGCGAUGUGGUUGGUGAUCUGAGACUUUUUUGACCAGCAAUAUUCAUAAGUGGGGUGGGGAAACUUAGCUUUCAGGUGAUAGUUCGAGGUGAUGUCCUUGAUCCUUUAAAAUACUAUUAAAUUGGUCGCCCCAAGAUGGCGUUUAAGUCGACGGCAAUCUACCAAGAGAAUAAAUCCUGCCAUAUAAACGUAUGGUCUGGUGGGGUCUUCCCAUGAGUUAUCGGUAAGUUUGAUCCAUCCCAAGGGGUGUGGUCGUAUUCCCUCCAAACGAUAGGGGGGUAUGGAAAGUGUGCAACUUGUCCAGCCUAAUUUUCAUUCUUUCGAAAAACGCUAGAUAAACAAGCUAUCCGCCUAUCUCCCGUUGUCGAUUAAAAUCCUUUGGAACGUAAAUUGGGAUGACGCCUCAACAACCAGGCAUCAUCGUGGGGUAAGUGUAAGCCUCUCAAAUCAUCAUUGCUGAAGGUGAUGGGUGUUUUGGGGUUCGCACGAAUUAUGAGGAGAGAUUGUAGAUCUCUUCUUCGGCCGGUCUAUGGGGCACUUCUUGCCUGCCUUUUUCCGGAUGAGGUCAAAUAACUGAAAUACUGCACCGACCCGAAACCUACCGCCAUGGCUGUUUUGUAUAUAUCGCCCCGCAGGUGGUCCCUGUGUCGCUUUAACCACCUUCUUUCUAGGGAGUUGGGCAGUGGGCUAGUAGUCGACUCUUUCCUUCCUCAAAUAACCCCUUUAAUGAGGUCGGCAAUUUGUUCUUUCAAUUGAAAACACUCCUCAGUAUGUGUGUCCGUGAUCCCUGUGGAACUCACAAUAUUUGUUCCUCUUCCUCUUUUUGAGGUCAGUCUAGAUUUCCUUGGGCCAUUUGACGAAUUUUCGUACUAACUUAUGUCUGGAGUACUUGGGCAGACAAACAGGGGCGUGAGUGGGCGGUAGCAUCACUCGUUCGGCGAGGUGGAUUGCGAGGACUCCUAGCUUUAGAGCGCUUAGGAGCUCGGUCCAGGUCUCUUGUGCCUUGUUUCCUCUCUAUAGUCGGGUCCGCCUAGUAUCAGGGUCCCUUUCUCUUAUGAUCAUCCUCUUCUCGGUGCCUUCGUUUGGCUCGCUACCUCUUAGGGCGGCAAUAUACUUUCGGCUUUGCUCGGAGUGUCUAUAAGAAUUUCAGAACGUUUUUUGAACGGGAGUCGAACACGGACGGCAGGUUGAAGUCCUUCCAUCAUUGCCAUGAUUAUCACCUUGUCGCUAGAUCCUCAACUUCUAAUACAGCCUGAUUGACCGUUUCACAAAACUUUCAAUCUCUCGGUUUCUUUUUGGUGGACAGUAACAAGGUGAGAAGUAUUCUUCUGUCAUUUUUGCAGCUCAUGAAAUUGACGACAAAAAAAGGAGGGAGUCGACUAAAAUCGCCAAAAGAGUCUCUGAUUCCUGGUGAUAAGUUUUUCUAACACGACCUGGCCGCCCUUUCCAAGUGGCAGACGAACGCUUGCACAUACCUCAUCCGUAGGCAAACCCUAGAGCGACAUUAGGCUUUUGUACGGUCCGGGGUCCAUCGGAUCUGUCUUUCCUUCUAAAUGCGAGCUGGGUAGGGGAAGGCUUAGCUUGAACUUCGAAGAUAUCCGAGCGCUCAAUACCCAAUUUCUGUGAACGGCGGAUCUGUCUGUCUAAUCAAGUCGCUUCAUAGUUCUGGAAAAGCAUAUUGUUCGUCAGUGUUAAUGGCGUCGAGCCGUGCGUCUAAAUACUCGAAUCUUCCUGCGAGGUGGACUUGUUUCGUCCUCGAUUUGAUCGCCUCUAGGGGGACUCAUCCCCCUUCUCACCCUGGCUCUAGUUUGACUAGAUCUAAAGAGGAACUCCGUUCACGUAGGACGGACUCGGUGUUCGGGCGCUACCCUCCUUAUUCGUAUCAGUAUUGAUGUUCUGAGAAUGAUCUCUCGAACGAUUAGAGUGGGAAUCACUCGAUAUCAGGCAGAUGGUGCUGCCCGGAAGUUGGGGUGUUGGCAGCAGUGAGGAGUUGCAUUAGGCGACCAUUUAUUCUCGUCAUGUCCUUAUCUGCUCAGCCAUAUCUUGUAUCUCCGGUGUGAGGCCUUCUAGAUCUGGAACUUGGCUUGGGUUGGCCAUAGGAUGGGAUAUGUUACCGGGGGGCUACUAGCACUUGGUCUGGGUAGGUAGCAAAUGUGUAGGUGCAUAGGAGAUCGAGAACUGUCGUUCCCACAGACGGCGCCAAACU
rnacentral:lncRNA from 1 species